GCGGAGGGUGAUACCACAUCGGUAUGUGGACCAGGCCGACAACCUGGGUUCCCUAAGGGGAAAGGGGUUCGACUCCCACGCCCUCCGCG
rnacentral:tRNA from 1 species